rnacentral:rRNA from 1 species
AGAGUUUGAUCCUGGCUCAGGAUGAACGCUAGCGAUAGGCUUAACACAUGCAAGUCGAGGGGCAGCAUGGUCUUAGCUUGCUAAGACUGAUGGCGACCGGCGCACGGGUGCGUAACGCGUAUGCAACUUGCCUCACAGAGGGGGAUAACCCGUCGAAAGACGGACUAAUACCGCGUACACUCCACUUUGGGCAUCCAAGGUAGAGGAAAUGAAAUUCGCUGUGAGAUAGGCAUGCGUCCCAUUAGCUAGUUGGUGAGGUAACGGCUCACCAAGGCGACGAUGGGUAGGGGAACUGAGAGGUUGAACCCCCACACUGGUACUGAGACACGGACCAGACUCCUACGGGAGGCAGCAGUGAGGAAUAUUGGUCAAUGGGCGAGAGCCUGAACCAGCCAAGUCGCGUGAAGGAUGACUGUCUUAUGGAUUGUAAACUUCUUUUAUACGGGAAUAACAAGAGCCACGUGUGGCUCCCUGCAUGUACCGUAUGAAUAAGCAUCGGCUAACUCCGUGCCAGCAGCCGCGGUAAUACGGAGGAUGCGAGCGUUAUCCGGAUUUAUUGGGUUUAAAGGGUGCGUAGGCGGCCUGUUAAGUCAGCGGUGAAAUCUAGGAGCUUAACUCCUAAAUUGCCAUUGAUACUGGCGGGCUUGAGUGUAGAUGAGGUAGGCGGAAUGCGUGGUGUAGCGGUGGAAUGCAUAGAUAUCACGCAGAACUCCGAUUGCGAAGGCAGCUUACUAAGGUACAACUGACGCUGAAGCACGAAAGCGUGGGUAUCAAACAGGAUUAGAUACCCUGGUAGUCCACGCAGUAAACGAUGAUAACUGGGCGUAUGCGAUAUACAGUAUGCUCCUAAGCGAAAGCGUUAAGUUAUCCACCUGGGGAGUACGCCGGCAACGGUGAAACUCAAAGGAAUUGACGGGGGCCC